rnacentral:rRNA from 1 species
CCUACGGGGAGCAGCAGUCGAGAAUCAUUCACAAUGGGGGAAACCCUGAUGGUGCGACGCCGCGUGGGGGAAUGAAGGUCUUCGUAUUGUAAACCCCUGUCAUGUGGGAGCAAAUUAAAAAGAUAGUACCACAAGAGGAAGAGACGGCUAACUCUGUGCCAGCAGCCGCGGUAAUACAGAGGUCUCAAGCGUUGUUCGGAAUCACUGGGCGUAAAGCGUGCGUAGGCUGUUUCGUCAGUCGUGGGUGAAAGGCGCGGGCUCAACCCGCGGACGGCACAUGAUACUGCGAGACUAGAGUGAUGGAGGAGGAACCGGAAUUCUCGGUGUAGCAGUGAAAUGCGUAGAUAUCGAGAGGAACACUCGUGGCGAAGGCGGGUUCCUGGACAUUAACUGACGCUGAGGCACGAAGGCGAGGGGAGCGAAAGGGAUUAGAUACCCGAGUAGUC